UACGUAGGGUGCGAGCGUUAAUCGGAAUUACUGGGCGUAAAGGGCGCGUAGGCGGCCUGCUAAGUCGGACGUGAAAUCCCUCGGCUCAACCGAGGAACUGCGUCCGAUACUGGUGGGCUUGAAUCCGGGAGAGGGAUGUGGAAUUCCAGGUGUAGCGGUGAAAUGCGUAGAUAUCUGGAGGAACACCGGUGGCGAAGGCGGCAUCCUGGACCGGUAUUGACGCUGAGGCGCGAAAGCUAGGGGAGCAAACGGG
rnacentral:rRNA from 1 species